rnacentral:lncRNA from 1 species
UCCACAACUGAAACAUCCACUUCUGAACACCAUGUCCUACUACAGCCAUCUUUCUGGUGGCCUGGGCUGCGGCUUGGCUGUGGCUGUGACUAUGGGAAGGACUGUGGCUGUGGCUGAGUAUGGCAGGUGCAGACAUGGCUGCCACUCAUCUUACUCUGCCAGGUAAUGACACCAUGGAUUCCACUGAGGAACACCUAGAGCAGUUCAGUCUACUGCACUCCUCC